rnacentral:rRNA from 1 species
GGUCCAGACUUUGAUCAUGGCUCAGGAUGAACGCUAGCUACAGGCUUAACACAUGCAAGUCGAGGGGCAGCGGGAUUGAAGCUUGCUUCAAUUGCCGGCGACCGGCGCACGGGUGAGUAACGCGUAUCCAACCUUCCGUACACUCAGGGAUAGCCUUUCGAAAGAAAGAUUAAUACCUGAUGGUAUGAUGAGAUUGCAUGAUAGCAUCAUUAAAGAUUUAUCGGUGUACGAUGGGGAUGCGUUCCAUUAGGUAGUAGGCGGGGUAACGGCCCACCUAGCCGACGAUGGAUAGGGGUUCUGAGAGGAAGGUCCCCCACAUUGGAACUGAGACACGGUCCAAACUCCUACGGGAGGCAGCAGUGAGGAAUAUUGGUCAAUGGACGAGAGUCUGAACCAGCCAAGUAGCGUGAAGGAUGAAGGUCCUACGGAUUGUAAACUUCUUUUAUAAGGGAAUAAACCCUUCCACGUGUGGGAGCUUGUAUGUACCUUAUGAAUAAGCAUCGGCUAACUCCGUGCCAGCAGCCGCGGUAAUACGGAGGAUGCGAGCGUUAUCCGGAUUUAUUGGGUUUAAAGGGAGCGCAGACGGGUCGUUAAGUCAGCUGUGAAAGUUUGGGGCUCAACCUUAAAAUUGCAGUUGAUACUGGCGUCCUUGAGUGCGGUUGAGGUGUGCGGAAUUCGUGGUGUAGCGGUGAAAUGCUUAGAUAUCACGAAGAACUCCGAUUGCGAAGGCAGCACACUAAGCCGUAACUGACGUUCAUGCUCGAAAGUGUGGGUAUCAAACAGGAUUAGAUACCCUGGUAGUCCACACGGUAAACGAUGGAUACUCGCUGUUGGCGAUAUACUGUCAGCGGCUUAGCGAAAGCGUUAAGUAUCCCACCUGGGGAGUACGCCGGCAAGGGUGCAACUCAAAUGAAUUGACGG